GCUCGCGAAUAUUCAUUGCAUUUGGAGAGCUGGAGUGAGAGAGAGAAAGAUGGAGGCACAUCACAACGAGACACUGAGAAAGCAAAAAACGAUCGAGAAGAAGCGAGAGAAAAAAGAAAAGCCAGCUCCUAACAGCUUUGAACAGAAUCCUGGAGCUGGGAUUCUCCUUGGCUGCACUACACUGUACAUGGACAGCUAUCACAGGGCAAGAUGCACUACAGCCAAAUUAAACAAUCGCUACAGAACACACAACUAUUUCCAACAAUAUUGAAGAGAAUUUGAAAAAAUAAAAUUAGAUACAUAGCACAAAAAAUAUCACAUUAUUUUAUUUAUUUCAUUGUCUAAUAAAGCUGUCGUCGAGAUUGGAAUGUG